rnacentral:rRNA from 1 species
UAUUCCUACGGGAGGCAGCAUUAGGGAAUCUUCCGCAAUGGACGAAAGUCUGACGCAGCACCGCCGCGUGAGUGAUGAAGGCCUUCGGGUCGUAAACCUCUGUUGUUAGGGAAGAACAAGUACGAGCGUAACUGCUCGGACCUUGACGGUCCCUAACCAGAAAGCCCGCGCUAACUACAUGCCAGCAGCCGCGGUAAUA